rnacentral:lncRNA from 1 species
GGGUGCUGGAGAUGUAGCUCAGUAAGAAGACCCUGGGUUCAAUCUCAAGUAUCACAAAGAAAAAAAAUAUCAGAGCUGGGCGUGGUGGUGCAAGCCUGUAAUCUCAGCACUCAGGGGUUGAGGGAGGAGGACUGCCAAGAGUUCAAGGCCAGCCUGGGCUAUGUAGUGAGUUCAGGACUAGCUUGAACUACAAAGGGACACCCUGCCUCCAAAAAAAAAAUCUGGAAAUUCCAAUAGCAAAGUACACAGCAUGACAGCUGAUGCCUGUCCGGUGGCCAAGGGAGGGUGUGAGGGGUGGACAGGCCCAACACCCCAGCUUAAUUUAUUUUUACAAUAAGGUGUCCAGACUGAAUUGUAACAAAUAUGAGUUCAGUUGUUUCUCUGUGGUUACUAAUUUGAAGAUGGCAGACAAGUUAUUAACAGUUGCGGCUCAGUUUUCCUCCUAAGUGGGGGUCAUAUAAAGACUGUACAAACAAUCCAUCUGAAAUGCUAAGCACAUACAAUGCAUACAUGCUUCUGAAAGCAGGCAGACUGGGCCUGCGCAGGCAGAGUUGUUGCGUGCUCACUGCCCUCUUGCCCUCUAUUGUCUCCUCUGCCCGUGGCCACACCAUGUGGCCCUCGCCUGUCUUCCCGAGAGUUGGGGUGUUCCUGACGAAAGCCCCUCUUGCAGGCCGCAGUUUGAUUUCGCUGGAAGGCACUGUCUCAGGUCUUGCAGUAUCUUCUUCAGGCUGGUGGUAUCUUCCACUACUAUUUCUCAUGUUUCCUCAAAGCCCUAAGGAUGGCUUUCAGCCGGCAGAUGAUUUGCUUGGGCUGAUGAUGGACAAAGCAGUAGUUUAGGAAAAGAAGGAUGUGCGCUCUGUGUUUGGCAGCUUCGUCUCAUCACUGCUAUCUCCCCAGUACAUGAACAGUGCCUGAUAACACAAGAGGUGCAGGCUGGACUAUAUACGUAGUGAGACCCUGUCACAAAAAAAAACACAGAAUACUUAUAAGAGGUGCUUUACCAUGUAUAUUCAAUAGCUGAAAAGCCCAGUGCAGCGGUGGUACACACCAGUAAUUA